UACCCUCCGUUUGGAGCUCCUUCGUUGAC
rnacentral:piRNA from 1 species